UAGGUGAGACACCAGCGACCACUGUUCCAGACCAACGUGAACCAUGUUCACAGUGACAAAAGUGGGUAUUUUUUAACGCAAGGUCAGGACAUUUCCAGCCAUGAUUGCAGCGACAAAAGUGGGUAUUUUUUAACGCAAGUUUGGGACAUUUCCAGCCAUGAUCGCAGCGACAAAAGUGGGUAUUUUUUAACGGGAGGUUGGGACAUUUCCAGCCAUGUCCGCAGUGACAAAAUAAAGUAUUUUUUCAUGAGAGGCUGGGAUACUUCUAGGCAUGGUUGUACGAAAAAAGUGGGUAUUUUUUGAAGAGAGGUCAGAA